rnacentral:lncRNA from 1 species
AUUAUGUUUAAACUAAUAUAAGUAAAAUGUGUGUAAAAUUGCAUGGAAAUAAUUAAAAUGAUUAUGUACAUGCAGUUAUAUUUUGUUGUUGUUGUUUAGCAUUACCUUACAUUUUCAGAAGGUAAAAUUAAAAUAUUUUGGUUUUCUGAGAGCAGUUUAGCUCCAAUAUCAUUAUAUGUCACUGGCUGUGAAAACAGAGAUUCAGGGUAGAAAGGAAUAUGGGCUCUGUAAUGAGAAACUUUCCUGUCCCAGAACUUCCUUAACAUUUAGGAGGAUGUAAGCCAUAGAAGCUAAUAGUCUAUAGGCACCAAGCACUACAUUUUGGGGCCCUGAAUCCCCCUUCUUCCCACCUCAUAUAUGGAAGCUGAUUGCAUUGUUCAGAAGACCUGGGGUAGGUUAACCACCACAUGAUGACUUGGAAUGGUAAUGAUGACACAUGCAGUUGCUAAAUUGUUUUGCCAUGAGGUGAACCAUUUCUGAAUUAAUGGAUAUAUAAUUAAUACAUUGAUUGAAGCCUUCACUUUUUGUGAAAUCAAUUCGGGGUGGGCUAGAGAUGACUCUAGAAUAAAUGGUCUGAGGUGGUAUAUUAUUGAUUUAUUUUUGUGAAGGCACCAGACUGACUUCUUCCUGCUGCUACCACAGCAGGAGCUGUGUUCCAACAUUGGAACCUUUGAUAAUCAUACAAACAUUCUUGGCUGGGCUCCUGGGAAGAUGGGAAGCCUGUUUAUUUAAUUGUCCUAUUUCAAUUCCUAAUUGUACCUGCUUGCCUGAAUCCCAUUCAUGUCAAUGGAGUAGUGAAGUCAACUCUAUCAGAUGGCAAGUUCAGGUCCAGUCAGUUUCCAAUAAGACUGCAUUCACUUGUUUUGAUUUUGAAUACAAAGCUAGUGGUUUUAGUAGCAGAAAUUUUCCCCUAAAGGACAUUAACCUUUUCCCACAAGCUGUUUGUUGGCGGGUUGUUCUAAGGUCAGCAACUACUUCUGUACCUUUUUCUCUUUUGCUAAAAACUGCAGCUUCUCCUUGUUAACAUUGACCCCUGACAACCAGGGAUCAUGUGUUCAGCAUGAUGGAAUAAUGACAUAACAUAACAAUUCAGAUAUCAUAAUGUGACAGUGUAUUGAGUGCUUUCUGAAUGUGCAAAUGCUUCUAGGCUAUUGGGAAGCCUCCAUUUCACUUUUCAUGAUAAUUGACCCCCCCCACUGCCGCCACCUACUAGCCUUGACCUUGUUUCAAACCUGAGGACAACUUGGAAAAUAUGCUCCGUGGUAGGGCAUUGCUGAGAGUGGAGUUGCAACAUAAUUCUAUGGAUUAGAAGGAAAUCUCAGUUGUCCUUAAUUGUGCUUAUUCUCUAGUAAGUGUGUUCAAGAUUAUAGCCCUAGUCUCACUCCCUGCCCCUCCCCUCUGCAAAUUGAUGUAUGACCACCAAUGUUUUCAUACUUUAAUUGUUAAAAUAAAAUGAAAAUUGCACUGAUAAUGAAGGAGCAUAUUAGUCAGCAUGGGGUUAUCCAGUAGCCAAGGCUUGCCCAACUUUUGGGGGCUGUGGGCACCUAGGCAAACUGGAGAAACCAUAACAGGCACCAUAAAUGCACAGACAGCGGAACCAAGCACACACUGCAACAUACUCCAUCCAUUGGCUACAAAGAGUGCUUUUAAGCCUACUUUUAGUUGGGAAAAGCAGCCUUGUAGCUAACUCUGUGGGUGCCCCAUUGACAGGUCCUGUAACAGGCACAUAUGAAGACCAGUUUUUUAAUAUAUAAUAAUUUUUAUUAAGUUUUCAAUUUUACAUUUCCGAAUAAACAUUUUACAAACUGUAAAAUAUCCAAUGGCAUCCUUUCUUCCUCUUCCAUGGUUCAUUAUACAUAUCACACAUUCCUGGAUAUUUUACUGUAACCAUUCAGAUCAGUUUUUCACUUUUACAUCAGUCAAAAAUUCUUUACUGUUGAAUUUAUCUUAAUGCUGCCAGCAUUUUCAGCUGUGUACCAUUAUUUUCCAUAUAUUCAAAUAAAUGUUUUCCACUCUUGUUUAAAUAUAUGUUCUUCUUGCUCUCUUAUUCUAUGUGUUAAAUAUGCAAGUUCUGCAUAUUCUGUCAACUUAAGUUGCCAAUCCUCUUUGGUUGGGACCUCACUCACUUUCUAUUUUGGGGCUAACAAAACAUGGGCCACAUUUGUUGCAUACAUAAAUAACCUUUUCUGACACUUAUGAAUUUCUGUUUGGGUUAUUCCCAAUAAAAAGGACUCUGGGGUUUUUUGGGGAAGUUAUUUUAAACAUUUUUUUUCAACUCAUUAUAAAUCAUUUCCCAAUAUACUUUCACCUUUUUCUCUCCACUUCUUUACACUUUCAGCACGUAUCUGAUUGUGUUUUAUAGAUAUGAAGACCAUUUUAGACUUGUUCAACUUUAAGAACUAAAUAAACAUAUGAUAUCAGUUAGACCUAAGGAUGGGUGGAUCUGUAAGUUUGGGUUUCUCUCACGUUCUCAUUUUUCCAAUCCUAAAUUCAGUUCUUUACAUGUACACGUCAGGGUGUUUUUAAGCCUUCAUGGAAACUCACAAAUAUUUUGGUGUGAAUGUCUCCUAAUACAUUUGCAUGCAAUUUUGCCUGAUACACACACUUUUGCAAAGCAAUCUUCCCUGAUAUAAUGCACUUUUGUAUGUUCUUUUUGUGAUUAUAUUUAUUUUUACACACACUUUACAAUAUGCACUUUUUGUACGUUCCACUUGACUGGAGAACUGCAUUGCAAAAUUCAGAGAAGUGUGAAUUUCAAUGAAUGGCUCUGUUUUGGUUUGUGUGUUUUGGAAAGAUCAAAUUAGGUAGGUUUGUCUGAAUCAAAUUUCUCUCCCAUCCCUAGAUACACCAGCCUUUGCCAACCUAGGGCCAUCCUGACGCUUUGGAUGGGCUAAUGGACGUUACAUCCCAAAAUAUCUGGAAAGGAGCAAGUGUGUGAAGGCUCUGUUAGAUCAACAAGAGUGAUGAGGUAUAACUAUAUGUACUAUAGGCAAUACAGGAUCUACAAAUCUCAGAUAAUUAGGCAGAUGGAGGAUCUGCACCAAAUAGUGGGAAAGUCUUGGGGCCACCAGGGGGCGCAGUGGAAGAUGGCUGACAAUAACAUCUCUCCGACCCAUGCGAGGUAAUUAAGAGGCUGAUAUGGGAGUAUGCAGCCUCCCUUACCCCCCCAAGGGAAUGGGGGGACUGCCUUGCCAGCUGUGUCCAUAAUUCACCCCCGAAUUCGAAAGAAGGGGGGUGUGGGCACUUGGCACGAAGCCCUCAAGUGAGGCCGGCUUUCCCUGACGCUGUCUCUAAUUCGCGCACUGGUUCGCAUUAGCUCGAAAUAUAUAAUUGGAAAUAUAUAAUUGGAAAGAAGCUAAUGCACAUACAUCAAGUGAAGAUCGGGAGUAAAGACUGCUGAUUAAUGGAUCUCUGUGAGCGGAGCGACGGGCUGACAAUAAAUCAAGUGAAGAAUCAUCAUUAAAAGACUGGUAUGUUGGAGUGAAACGGAAAGGGGGGGAGGAAAAAACUUCUUUUUUUUGUCUUAUGUGAGUACUAAUAACCCUCCCCUCCAGAGAGAAGAAUCGUUGCAAAUUAUUAAUCACAAGCAGGAGAUCAAGAACUGUGUGGAAAUGAAUUACUGAUCAAAGAGAGGACUGGUAGAAACAUCGGGGAACGGAAAGAAAGUUUUAUGACGCAGUUACAAAUGGCGUUUCGCUAAGACAGGCUUGCCCAUAGAAGGACGAGGGGGAGGAGGACCAGGGUCAUCGGAAUGUGAAUGUAUGGUUAUCGGAAUGUGAUCUUGACCUGGCAGAGCUCCCUGAGAUAUGUUUGGCAAGCCUGGGGAAAUCAACGGACAGACUGAGGGAAUGUUCUUUACGGAGGUGUGGAAAUGGUGUCUGUCCUUUAUGUGAUAUGAUUUUUGGAGAGUGUAAAACCCACACAGAGGAUGUUUGUUUUCAACCCGCUUGUGAAGAUUAUCAGAGAUCGC